UUCCGUAGGGGGACCUGCGGAGGGAUCAUUACCGAGUUUACAACUCACCAAACCCCUGUGAACAUACCACUUGUUGCCUCGGCGGAUCAGCCCGCUCCCGGUAAAACGGGACGGCCCGCCAGAGGACCCCUAAACUCUGUUUCUAUAUGUAACUUCUGAGUAAAACCAUAAAUAAAUCAAAACUUUCAACAACGGAUCUCUUGGUUCUGGCAUCGAUGAAGAACGCAGCAAAAUGCGAUAAGUAAUGUGAAUUGCAGAAUUCAGUGAAUCAUCGAAUCUUUGAACGCACAUUGCGCCCGCCAGUAUUCUGGCGGGCAUGCCUGUUCGAGCGUCAUUUCAACCCUCAAGCACAGCUUGGUGUUGGGACUCGCGUUAAUUCGCGUUCCUCAAAUUGAUUGGCGGUCACGUCGAGCUUCCAUAGCGUAGUAGUAAAACCCUCGUUACUGGUAAUCGUCGCGGCCACGCCGUUAAACCCCAACUUCUGAAUGUUGACCUCGGAUCAGGUAGGAAUACCCGCUGAACUUAAGCAUAUCAAAAGCUGCUCCC
rnacentral:rRNA from 1 species